rnacentral:lncRNA from 1 species
UUGACACAAGUGAAUAAUGCAUACUGUAAAGAACUCACACUCAAACGCCAUUUGUUAAUCCACAUCGACCCACAGGUUAAAGAAGAAAAAAAUAGAGCGAGUCUGAGUUGCGACUGCAACAAUGGUUAAAAAGAGGAGCGAUAAAGAAUAAAAAAUAAAAGGUGUGAUAAAGAUGAUUGAAAUGCCAAUAUAUGUUCAAAGGGCAGGAUGACUAACAAAUGGUGUUGCUGGGCAGAAAGCUAACCAUCAUCUUGUUGAAUGAAUCUUGCAGCAAAAACGAUUUCCCUUUGUUUGUAUACCUUAUUUUCUCUAAUCCCUGCACAAGGAAAAAGUAAAUAUCUAUUUCAAACUCACAAAAAGCGCAUAUCAUCACCCUGCAAAUGCUUUAAGAAAUGGAAGGAGAACCCUUUGACGUCACAAAGAAAAAGUAAAAAUCUAUUUCAAACUCAUAAAAGGUGUAUAUCAUCACCCUGCAUAUUCUUUAAGAACCGGAAGGAAAAUCCUUUAAAGUCAUGAGGCUUGAAAGAGAACACAACUUCUGUAGUUUGUUUGAACCUGCCAAUUCAAAUGCCUAUUACUUCAAUAUCCUCCGUUAGGAACAAUGGAUUCAACCCCUGCUUAGACAUCAUGUGCCUAGAAGAGACACAUAACGAAUAAGAUAUUAAAGGUAAUAACAACUUGACUUAUGGCUGCUGAAAUCUUGAUUAAGGAAAUCAUAUAAAUAUACUAAGACUCACGAUAUGUUGGAACAAAAUACCUCAUCUAAUAUUAAGUUAUUCUAACAACCAAGUAAAUCAUCGCCAUCAAUCGUUUUGACAGUAAGCUGCGGAGGAUGUACCACUUUAGUUACGGGUUCAAUUGUACCUAUAACUUUCGAAGCGAAUUAUAAAUUAUGUGUGUAACGUCACUAACAUUGCAAUAGAUAGUAGACAUGAACCCAUAAUUAUACAAAUAUUGCAACGCAAUGGGCAAUCCUAAAUAGUAGGUUUAAGGAAAAAAAUUAAGCAUCAGCAAGAAAACAAAACAAAUUGCAACACAACGGGCAAUCUUUCAACUUGCAAUUCCCCCCUUUUUUUUUCUUUCUCUAAAGAAGGUCAAAUUGGUAACAAAGUCAUAUAUUCUAAGAUAAUUGCAAGCUCUCUUUAUAGAAGUAAUUGCCUUUAAGGUUUUAAAGGAUUUAUAGAAAAGAACUUUAGCAAGACAAAGAGAAAAAGAUAUCAACAUGUCUUCUUCGGUUUUUCAUUCUCACCCGUCUUUUCUCAAAUAGGUGAAAUAAUAGAAAGAUUGUAAAGAUAGGAAGGAUAAAAGAUAUUUAGAAAAUUCAAAUCUUAAAAGUAAGGAAGAAUAUGUAAUAAUAAUAGAAACUUACCUGAAAAGGAAUGUGCCCUUGUUUCUUAUGUCACCAUUUAUUUUCUGCAAUUAACAAAAGGCCAAAAAAGUUAAAAUCUGCAUUCAGUUGAGUAUAAAAGUAUGCAGUCGGCUUUUUAAUGUAAAUAUUUCAAUCAAUUGAGUAGUAAAUCAUAUUGAAGAUGUAGAUAUGUUGUUUAGUAGUUUCGUUUUCGUAUUAAAGACUGGGAUUAGUAAUCUACAAUGUCAUACACGAUAGCACACAAAUGUAUGACAUAACUUAUAGUAAUACAAUAGAGUUUCACUCUACUUUCUUUAUUUUUACUGUGUCCAUAACAUGUUUCUAAAUUUUGGGAGUAUCAUAAGGAGAAACCAUAUUUUGCUCAUUGCAGAAUAUUAUCCAUAAUCAAUCAACUGGAGUUAAAAUUUUAAAUUCAGGAAAUUUGUUGAAAAAGCUAAGUAUAUAGAGAAUAAUAACUGAAUUGAAGAAGUCUAUAUCUCAUAUGAUACGUAAUGUUUUUUACGUAUACCCAAUAAUACUUGGGAGCACAAGGAUCACCGACACCUAAUAAAGAGAAAAUAUAAAUAGCUUUUUCUAAGAAAUUCAACUUUUUUCUACAUACAAGAAAGCUACUGUAUUGAAGAAGAAGAAGAACCAUUGCACGAACCUUUCAUGUUCUUAAUAAUAUUGUUGACUCUUCUAUUGCAUCCAUCAAAGUCUAUUUACAAGUUUGUUUCAAUCUAGGAAAAAGAAUUUUUGAACAAUAGAAAGAUAUAAAUCGAGAAUGGGCAAAGAAAAAAAAACCAGCACGAAGGAUAGUAGAUUUAAAAACCAGGAAAUAAUUUGCAGAACCUUUUACCGAAUCAUAUGUAUGUAAAUUAGAAGCUGCUAAUAUAAUAACUGGACUAAGGAAGAUAAGCCUCAACUUUGAGAGUGAAAGCUUGUAGUAAAAUCCCAAAAAUAACUAAUAAUACCUGAUUAUUAGGAUAUACUCCUUUAAAACAUAAAGUUUUCAAAAGCAAUAUACGUUUUAGUUGUUGAUCAAAGUAAGAAUACAAAGUUACCAACUUCAAAAUCACCUAACUGAAUCCCAAUUCAAUCACAGGUGCUACAAUUCUGAGGAUUAGUGUGAUUGAUGAGAUUAAGAAUUGAUAUAAUCUGAUUUGGUAGAUGUGCCUGCUAUUAGGGCUGUAACCUCUGUUAUUUGAAAUCUUCAAUUCACUGCAAAAUGGAACUUUG